rnacentral:rRNA from 1 species
GAUGAACGCUAGCUACAGGCUUAACACAUGCAAGUCGAGGGGCAGCAUGGUCUUAGCUUGCUAAGGCCGAUGGCGACCGGCGCACGGGUGAGUAACACGUAUCCAACCUGCCGUCUACUCUUGGACAGCCUUCUGAAAGGAAGAUUAAUACAAGAUGGCAUCAUGAGUUCACAUGUUCACGUGAUUAAAGGUAUUCCGGUAGACGAUGGGGAUGCGUUCCAUUAGAUAGUAGGCGGGGUAACGGCCCACCUAGUCUUCGAUGGAUAGGGGUUCUGAGAGGAAGGUCCCCCACAUUGGAACUGAGACACGGUCCAAACUCCUACGGGAGGCAGCAGUGAGGAAUAUUGAUCAAUGGGCGAGAGCCUGAACCAGCCAAGUAGCGUGAAGGAUGACUGCCCUAUGGGUUGUAAACUUCUUUUAUAAAGGAAUAAAGUCGGGUAUGUAUACCCGUUUGCAUGUACUUUAUGAAUAAGGAUCGGCUAACUCCGUG